rnacentral:rRNA from 1 species
UACCAGCCGCCGCGGUAAUACGUCGGUUACAAUGCGUUGUCCGGAUUUACUGGGCGUAAAGCGAGCGCAGGCGGUCUUUUAAGUCUGAUGUGAAAGCCCCCGGCUCAACCGGGGAAGGUCAUCGGAUACUGGAAGAAUAGAAUGUGUAAGAGGAGAGGUGGAAUUCCAUGUGUAGCGGUGAAAUGCGUAGAUAUAUGGAGGAACACCAGUGGCGAAGGCGACUCUCCUGGUCUGUUAUUGACGCUCAGGCUCGAAAGCGUGGGGAGCGAACAGGAUUAGAUACCCUGGUAGUCCACGCCGUAAACGAUGAC